rnacentral:misc_RNA from 1 species
GAUAAAGAACGUAGCGAAAUGCGAUAAGUAAUGUGAAUUGCAGAAUUCAGUGAAUCAUCGAAUCUUUGAACGCACAUUGCGCCCGCCAGUAUUCUGGCGGGCAUGCCUGUUCGAGCGUCAUUACAACCCUCAGGCCCCCGGGCCUGGCGUUGGGGAUCGGCAGAAGCCCCCUGUGGGCACACGCCGUCCCUCAAAUACAGUGGCGGUCCCGCCGCAGCUUCCAUUGCGUAGUAGCUAACACCUCGCAACUGGAGAGCGGCGCGGCCAUGCCGUAAAACACCCAACUUCUGAAUGUUGACCUCGAAUCAGGUAGGAAUACCCGCUGAACUUAAGCAUAUCAAUAAGCGGAGGA